rnacentral:rRNA from 1 species
GCUGUGAGCUCGAUGAGUAGGGCGGGACACGUGGUAUCCUGUCUGAAUAUGGGGGGACCAUCCUCCAAGGCUAAAUACUCCUGACUGACCGAUAGUGAACCAGUACCGUGAGGGAAAGGCGAAAAGAACCCCGGCGAGGGGAGUGAAAAAGAACCUGAAACCGUGUACGUACAAGCAGUGGGAGCACCCUUUGGGGUGUGACUGCGUACCUUUUGUAUAAUGGGUCAGCGACUUAUAUUCUGUAGCAAGGUUAACCGAAUAGGGGAGCCGGAGGGAAACCGAGUCUUAAUUGGGCGUUAAGUUGCAGGGUAUAGACCCGAAACCCGGUGAUCUAGCCAUGGGCAGGUUGAAGGUUGGGUAACACUAACUGGAGGACCGAACCGACUAAUGUUGAAAAAUUAGCGGAUGACCUGUGGCUGGGGGUGAAAGGCCAAUCAAACCGGGAGAUAGCUGGUUCUCCCCGAAAGCUAUUUAGGUAGCGCCUCGUGAAUUCAUCUCCGGGGGUAGAGCACUGUUUCGGCUAGGGGGCCAUCCCGGCUUACCAACCCGAUGCAAACUGCGAAUACCGGAGAAUGUUAUCACGGGAGACACACGGCGGGUGCUAACGUCCGUCGUGAAGAGGGAAACAACCCAGACCGCCAGCUAAGGUCCCAAAGUCAUGGUUAAGUGGGAAACGAUGUGGGAAGGCCCAGACAGCCAGGAUGUUGGCUUAGAAGCAGCCAUCAUUUAAAGAAAGCGUAAUAGCUCACUGGUCGAGUCGGCCUGCGCGGAAGAUGUAACGGGGCUAAACCAUGCACCGAAGCUGCGGCAGCGACGCUGAUGCGUUGUUGGGUAGGGGAGCGUUCUGUAAGCCUGUGAAGGUGGCCUGUGAGGGUUGCUGGAGGUAUCAGAAGUGCGAAUGCUGACAUAAGUAACGAUAAAGCGGGUGAAAAGCCCGCUCGCCGGAAGACCAAGGGUUCCUGUCCAACGUUAAUCGGGGCAGGGUGAGUCGACCCCUAAGGCGAGGCCGAAAGGCGUAGUCGAUGGGAAACGGGUUAAUAUUCCCGUACUUGGUGUUACUGCGAAGGGGGGACGGAGAAGGCUAUGUUGGCCGGGCGACGGUUGUCCCGGUUUAAGCGUGUAGGCUGGUUUUCCAGGCAAAUCCGGAAAAUCAAGGCUGAGGCGUGACGACGAGGCACUACGGUGCUGAAGCAACAAAUGCCCUGCUUCCAGGAAAAGCCUCUAAGCAUCAGGUAACAUCAAAUCGUACCCCAAACCGACACAGGUGGUCAGGUAGAGAAUACCAAGGCGCUUGAGAGAACUCGGGUGAAGGAACUAGGCAAAAUGGUGCCGUAACUUCGGGAGAAGGCACGCUGACACGUAGGUGAAGUGAUUUACUCAUGGAGCUGAAGUCAGUCGAAGAUACCAGCUGGCUGCAACUGUUUAUUAAAAACACAGCACUGUGCAAACACGAAAGUGGACGUAUACGGUGUGACGCCUGCCCGGUGCCGGAAGGUUAAUUGAUGGGGUCAGCGCAAGCGAAGCUCCUGAUCGAAGCCCCGGUAAACGGCGGCCGUAACUAUAACGGUCCUAAGGUAGCGAAAUUCCUUGUCGGGUAAGUUCCGACCUGCACGAAUGGCGUAAUGAUGGCCAGGCUGUCUCCACCCGAGACUCAGUGAAAUUGAACUCGCUGUGAAGAUGCAGUGUACCCGCGGCAAGACGGAAAGACCCCGUGAACCUUUACUAUAGCUUGACACUGAACAUUGAGCCUUGAUGUGUAGGAUAGGUGGGAGGCUUUGAAGUGUGGACGCCAGUCUGCAUGGAGCCGGCCUUGAAAUACCACCCUUUAAUGUUUGAUGUUCUAACGUGGACCCGUGAUCCGGGUUGCGGACAGUGUCUGGUGGGUAGUUUGACUGGGGCGGUCUCCUCCUAAAGAGUAACGGAGGAGCACGAAGGUUGGCUAAUCCUGGUCGGACAUCAGGAGGUUAGUGCAAUGGCAUAAGCCAGCUUGACUGCGAGCGUGACGGCGCGAGCAGGUGCGAAAGCAGGUCAUAGUGAUCCGGUGGUUCUGAAUGGAAGGGCCAUCGCUCAACGGAUAAAAGGUACUCCGGGGAUAACAGGCUGAUACCGCCCAAGAGUUCAUAUCGACGGCGGUGUUUGGCACCUCGAUGUCGGCUCAUCACAUCCUGGGGCUGAAGUAGGUCCCAAGGGUAUGGCUGUUCGCCAUUUAAAGUGGUACGCGAGCUGGGUUUAGAACGUCGUGAGACAGUUCGGUCCCUAUCUGCCGUGGGCGCUGGAGAACUGAGGGGGGCUGCUCCUAGUACGAGAGGACCGGAGUGGACGCAUCACUGGUGUUCGGGUUGUCAUGCCAAUGGCACUGCCCGGUAGCUAAAUGCGGAAGAGAUAAGUGCUGAAAGCAUCUAAGCACGAAACUUGCCCCGAGAUGAGUUCUCCCUGAGACUUUAGGUCUCCUGAAGGAACGUUGAAGACGACGACGUUGAUAGGCCGGGUGUGUAAGCGCAGCGAUGCGUUGAGCUAACCGGUACUAAUGAACCGUGAGGCUUAACCUUACA